AGCAUGACGGCAGUUUUGCAUUCCUUCAGUGUGGUUUGCAGUAAUCGGGCGUUCACUUACAAACAUGGCCACACAGUCUCUAACAUUGAACAAUGGCCAUAAGAUGCCUCUUGUGGGGCUUGGCUCCUGGCAGGUUACCUCUCCCGAGGAGUGCAAGGACACUAUCCGUGCGGCACUGGACGCUGGCUACAGACACAUUGACACAGCCUACGCAUACCAUAACGAGGCUUUCAUUGGGGAGGUGCUCCAGGAAUACUUCAAGGCCGGGAAACUGAGGAGGGAGGACAUUUUUGUUACAACAAAGCUUUGGGUGACCUACCAUGAGAAAGACCGAGUUCCCCUGUGCAUCGUUGAAAGCCUUAAGAAGUUACAGUUGGACUAUGUGGACAUGUAUCUUAUCCACCUUCCUGUAGGACUGAGAGAAACAGGCAAAGGAGAACCUUUCCCACUGGAUGAAAACGACAAACCUGCAUUCCAGGAUGUUCUCCUGACGGAUACGUGGAAGGGGAUGGAACAGGUGGCUCGUAGUGGCCAAGCCAAGUCUAUUGGUGUCUCAAAUUUCAACAUGGAACAGACUGAGAGGAUAUGCAAGAUAGCUGAAAUAUUACCAGCCACAAACCAGGUUGAGUGUCAUUUGUAUCUCCAGCAAGAAAAGCUGUUUCAGUUUCUCAAGGAAAAGGGGAUAACUGUUACAGCCUACAGCCCUCUCGGUUCACCAACUCGACCAGCUCACAUGCUGAAGGAAGGAGCUCCCAGAGUUCUAGAUGACCCAGUUGCUAAGGAUCUGGCCACAAAGUAUAAAAGAUCUGUAGGACAGAUUCUCCUCCGCUAUCUUGUCCAAAGAGGCAUGAUUGUUAUCCCGAAGAGCAGCAAUCCUUCAAGAAUUCUGGAAAACGUGAAGGUUUUCGACUUCGAACUGUCUGGCGAGGAUAUGUCAAAGCUUUCAGCUCAAGACAAGAAACUGCGUUUUUUAACCUUCUUGGAAUUCAAAGGUCACUCAGAAUACCCCUUUGACGAGCCUCUCUGAAAUGGGAAAUCGCAAAACGGUUCCGAGAAGUCCUUCAUUUGGACACAAAUAUCAAUAGUCUUUUCCUAGCAGUAUAUUCAUAUAUAAUAUGAACCUUCAUAUAUUAACCUCGUUGUUUAUUUAAGUGUGUAACACAUUUUCAACUUUUUUCGGAAGUUGCGAAGUCACUCUACAAAUACAGAACAUGUACAAAGAGAUAAUUCUACUUUUACCAUAGUGGACUAUGUAAGUAUGUGCAGUACGUUGAUAACAAGAGAAACAAUCCCUUCUGAAAGCUUGUGCAUUGUGCAACUUCAAGUAUAGUUCAUUCAGUUGUUGAAAACAUUUUAGUAACUUUGAUCUUCUCGGGAUUAACUCGCACUAUGUAAACAUCCCUGAUGUGUUUUUAGCCAUUUAAAAAAUACACGCAUGUAUAAAUAUAGAGUUAGUUACGGUUUUCUAUCUAAGGCUUGAACAGAUCAUUUCUCAUGAGGGAAAAGUAAUAGAUUGGGUCCAUAGCAGAGAAACUAGGUUCAAAUUGACCGGCCUACAAAGAGGAUCGUACCUUUAAAUCUGAAGAGUGUGGGCAGGCAAUUAAGAAAUGGCAUUCUUCUUCAAUAUCAGUUAGAUUGCAAUGUUUACAUAUGCGAUUCUGUAUGU
rnacentral:misc_RNA from 1 species